GGAAUCGCCAUCGGCCAAUUUCGUGUUGGCCUUAGAAGAUGCCGUUUACGUAUGUCCAAUCAACAACUCUAACGCAACUGAAAUUUGCAACAACGACGUCGACAUGGGAGACCCAUUCCGUCUUGUUAUCUUGAAUAGCACAGGUGAUUCGAUCAUCUGCGGAUCACUGGGCGGUGAAAUUCAAAUCGUUUGCAGCCUUCCGAAUUCGAUCGAUCGCACUGGAACAAGAUCAACUACUACAGACCUGUUUUCUUCGAUGCAGAAAAUUUAAAGUGACGCAACAAUUUCCUCUUCUACUAACCAUCCAGUGAAAUGAGUGGAUUUGGAAGCGUCGUCCAUCAGACACACUUCACUUGAUAUGCC